rnacentral:lncRNA from 1 species
UCUUGUUUGAUUCACCUCACCCAGCACAUUCACUAUCUUGGUCAAUGAAAAUUGAACAUUUACCUGAGCUAGAAACUAAACCACUACAUCCUUCAAUUCAGGCCCCACCAUAACUUGAACUGAAAUCUUUGCCUGAAUCACUUAAGUAUGUGUUUCUAAGACUUGAGAAAACCCUGCCAGUAAUCAUUGCUUCUGAUCUAACCCCCAAGC